rfam:Ruminococcus callidus ATCC 27760 genomic scaffold Scaffold1066, whole genome shotgun sequence.
AAACAACAAUAUCGUAUUCUAAAGACAGUUGGUGGCGUAAGCCGUAAGUCCAACCGAGGAAUGUGCAAUGACCUGUGAAAUACAGUGCACGGUUCCCUGUCGAAUCGUGCUUUUUUAUUGCGAUU